rnacentral:lncRNA from 1 species
CUCAUUCCCAGGCCUCCGGCUGACCACGGGAAAGGGGAUCUUCAGGAGCGGGUGUCUCAGGGCUGGGAAGAGGACGGCACAGGAGGGCUGGGGAACCCAAAUUGCAGCCUGAAUGGCCAGUGUCCUUUCUCCAGAAUGCAGUUCUCCCUUGCUCAGAAGAAAUGAGUCUGCCAGUGGGUACAACAUGAGAUGAUACUUCCACCCCCAUUGGUGACAGCCCUCACCUAGCUAUCAAAGACAGUGUUCGACUUCCUUCACUCUUUCCAGGGGCCAGCAUGUGGCUGGCCACUGUCCACCCUCAGGGGUUGUGAACUGAAU